rnacentral:rRNA from 1 species
AGUGAACGCUGGCGGCAGGCCUAACACAUGCAAGUCGAGCGGCAGCGCGGGGGCAACCCUGGCGGCGAGCGGCGGACGGGUGAGGAAUUCGUCGGAAUCUGCCUUUUUGUGGGGGAUAACGUAGGGAAACUUACGCUAAUACCGCAUACGUCCUACGGGAGAAAGUGGGGGACCGCAAGGCCUCACGCAGAAAGAUGAGCCGACGACCGAUUAGCUAGUUGGUGGGGUAAAGGCCCACCAAGGCGACGAUCGGUAGCUGGUCUGGGAGGAUGAUCAGCCACACUGGGACUGAGACACGGCCCAGACUCCUACGGGAGGCAGCAGUGGGGAAUAUUGGACAAUGGGCGCAAGCCUGAUCCAGCCAUGCCGCGUGUGUGAAGAAGGCCUUCGGGUUGUAAAGCACUUUUGUCCGGAAAGAAAUCCCUGGAGCUAAUACCUUCGGGGGAUGACGGUACCGGAAGAAUAAGCACCGGCUAACUUCGUG